rnacentral:lncRNA from 1 species
GUGAAGCCUUGGAACAUCUGUAUGAAGCAUCUCCUCUUGGGAUUCACCGAACUUCGUAGCUUGCAACAACCAGUCCAUUUCCUUUUUCCUAUGCUGAGGCAGCACCAACAAAUCAAUCCAUCGAAGUUCCUAUUGACAUACAUAAAUGAAAAUAGGGAUGCCGUUGCUGAUUCGGAUCAUCUCAAUCAAUUAAUUGGGAAAAUAUUACUUUUUGAAUGCUACUUUUCACUUGUCUUCCGCGAGUCUGAGACCUUACUUCUUCGACUACUCGACUUUUGCAAGUCCUUAUCUCAAAAAAAUUUCCUAAAUUUCUCAGAGUCUAUUCUAAAAAAAAUCCACUAAUAGCCCUAUAAUGGAUUGAGUUACAUAGUGCCACCAAGGGUUGGAACCCACUUUUAAGUAGUUUAUAUGCACGCAUGCAUGUGUCAUCACCUCAUUGGUCGGAGAUCCAAAGGUCCAUAAAAAAAAGAUUCUUCUUUUUUUAUAUAUAUAUUUCUAAUUAUUAUAUUAGUUUUUCUUAGAAGAGGUACACUCCCUAGAAGAUUUUCUCGGGG